rnacentral:rRNA from 1 species
GCAUAUCAAUAAGCGGAGGAAAAGAAACCAACAGGGAUUGCCCUAGUAACGGCGAGUGAAGCGGCAACAGCUCAAAUUUGAAAGCUAGCCUUCGGGUUCGCAUUGUAAUUUGUAGAGGAUGAUUUGGGGAAGCCGCCUGUCUAAGUUCCUUGGAACAGGACGUCAUAGAGGGUGAGAAUCCCGUAUGUGACAGGAAAUGGCACCCUAUGUAAAUCUCCUUCGACGAGUCGAGUUGUUUGGGAAUGCAGCUCUAAAUGGGAGGUAAAUUUCUUCUAAAGCUAAAUAUUGGCGAGAGACCGAUAGCGCACAAGUAGAGUGAUCGAAAGAUGAAAAGCACUUUGGAAAGAGAGUUAAAAAGCACGUGAAAUUGUUGAAAGGGAAGCGCUUGCAAUCAGACUUGUUUAAACUGUUCGGCCGGUCUUCUGACCGGUUUACUCAGUUUGGACAGGCCAGCAUCAGUUUCGGCGGCCGGAUAAAGGCUCUGGGAAUGUGGCCUCCACUUCGGUGGAGGUGUUAUAGCCCAGGGUGUAAUACGGCCAGCCGGGACUGAGGUCCGCGCUUCGGCUAGGAUGCUGGCGUAAUGGUUGUAAGCGACCCGUCUU